GACGAACGCUGGCGGCGUGCCUAAUACAUGCGAGUAGAACGCUGAAGGAGGAGCUUGCUUCUCUGGAUGAGUUGCGAACGGGUGAGUAACGCGUAGGUAACCUGCCUGGUAGCGGGGGAUAACUAUUGGAAACGAUAGCUAAUACCGCAUAAGAGUAGAUGUUGCAUGACAUUUGCUUAAAAGGUGCAAUUGCAUCACUACCAGAUGGACCUGCGUUGUAUUAGCUAGUUGGUGGGGUAACGGCUCACCAAGGCGACGAUACAUAGCCGACCUGAGAGGGGGAUCGGCCACACUGGGACUGAGACACGGCCCAGACUCCUACGGGAGGCAGCAGUAGGGCAUCUUCGGCAAUGGACGGAAGUCUGACCGAGCAACGCCGCGUGAGUGAAGAAGGUUUUCGGAUCGUAAAGCUCUGUUGUAAGAGAAGAACGAGUGUGAGAGUGGAAAGUUCACACUGUGACGGUAUCUUACCAGAAAGGGACGGCUAACUACGUG
rnacentral:rRNA from 1 species